CUCAAGUCCUUUUGUUCCAUGAAUCGGCCCUACUUCCAUACUCCAUGAGAUCGAUGAACGAAAAAAGAAUUCCAUACGAUCACAAAAAAAAUUCCAUACGAUCUCAAAAACGAUUUCAAAGAAAUCAGAAUUUCAAGUUAUUGUAAUUCCCAGAAAAAACCGAUUUCACUUCAGAGAGUUAGGAAAAAAUCGAUCUCAAUUCACAGAGACUUAAAAAUCGAUCUCAAUUCACAGACUUAAAAAACGAUUUCAAAUCACAUACAGUUGAAAAAUGAUCAAAGGGAAAAAAAAUCAUAGAAAUCGUAAAGUGUAGCUGCAGCCAAGAAUUUUCAAUUCACAGGUGAUGAAGAUUGAAGAUGAAGAAAUCGGCGAUGGUAUGUGUACAGGUGUUCAACUGUUUUGGGCAGUAUUUAUGUCUCCACUUUGAGUUCAAAGUCCAGGUUUCAAGCCCAAAUAUCAAAGUAAAAGCAAGGUAGCUAAGCGACAAUAGAACACCCACUAAGUGUUCGAUUAAAUGCCCUAGUGAAGGCAUAGACUAUUAUCAAGAAAGCGAAAGGGUAAACUGCUCCAAAUUCAUAAUUGAACUUUUUGUAAAUUCACUUCAGGUUUAGCAAUUGCAAAUCAACUAGUUUGGAAAAGAUAAGUUUUUUUUUUACAAUUCAGUUUCGUAUGUUUCUUCUUCUCUAUUUUCCACUGAUGAGUAGUUCUUAUGAUCUGAUCAAAGUCUUCUUGCUUCUUUUUUUAUAAAUAUUUGAUGAUUUGAUCAUGCCACUUACUGUACUAUGUAGGAACAUGAUUCAUGGUCCUUGGAAAGAUGCAAAUGCACUAGUUUUGACCUUGCAUGUGGAUGACAACAAUGUUAUCAAAGAGCUAUCCAAUUUCUUGAAUAGGUUCCCACUCGUGAAUUUGUGGAAGCUGUUCACUCAAUCAUGCACUUUUUCUGGUUCAGAGCAACAACUGUUGCUCUGGUCAAAAUCAUGCAAUAUUUAACUAUAAGAUGGGCUAAAUAAAAUCAAGGAGCUCAAAGUGGAUGUAGCUUCUGUGGAGACAAAUAUUGUUUAUGUUGAAAUAUUAAAGGGUUCAAAUAUUACAAGAUUUACGUUGGGUAAAAUAGUGGAGGAACAUGGUAUUCUUUUUGAUGUCAGAUAGCUCAUCCAAGGAUUCUUUGCUGGAGAACUGGUGGGAAUAGUUGAAUAAUUGGAAGAAUUGUAGGAACAUUUGAAAAAAUUUGGGUGGUUGUAUAAUGAAUUGACCAUGUAUGUUUUAAUAGAAAAUGUAUAGAACAAAAGUAUUUUUUAUUUGAAGUAAGCUGAAAUAGCAACCCUCUUUUCAUAUUUAUCCAAAGUAUCAAUGUACUUAUCAUUUUUAAUAAAAAUUGACAAUUGAGAUUCUUUGCU